GGUCAAGCGACUAAGCGCAUACGGUGGAUGCCUUGGCGGUCAGAGGCGAUGAAGGACGUGGUAGCCUGCGAAAAGUCCCGGGGAGCUGGCAACAAGCUUCGAUCCGGGAAUGUCCGAAUGGGGAAACCCACCGCGCAAGCGGUAUCCCAAUCUGAAUCUAUAGGAUUGGGAGGCGAACUCAGGGAACUGAAAUAUCUCAGUACCUGAAGGAAAAGAAAUCAACCGAGAUUCCCCUAGUAGCGACGAGCGAACGGGGAUCAGCCCAAAAGUCGUACAAGUUCUAGCGGAACAUUCUGGAAAGGAUGGCCAUAGACGGUGAUAGCCCGGUAUGCAAAAGGGCUUGUGCGAUGAAAGUGAGUAGGGCGGGGCACGUGAAACCCUGUCUGAACAUGGGGGGACCAUCCUCCAAG
rnacentral:rRNA from 1 species